rnacentral:rRNA from 1 species
AGAGUUUGAUCCUGGCUCAGAAUGAACGCUGGCGGCGUGCCUAACACAUGCAAGUCGGAUGUGCCGCAAGGUGCAUGGCAGACGGGUGAGUAACGCGUAGGGAAUCUACCUUUUUGUGGGGAAUAACGCUCCGAAAGGAGUGGUAAUACCGCAUGAGACCGUGGCCUGGGAUGGUUACGGUGAAACCUGGGGACCGCAAGGCCUGGGGCAAAGAGAGGAUCCUGCGUCUGAUUAGCUAGUUGGCGGGGUAAUGGCCCACCAAGGCGACGAUCAGUAGCCGGCCUGAGAGGGUGAUCGGCCACACUGGAACUGAGACACGGUCCAGACUCCUACGGGAGGCAGCAGUGGGGAAUUUUGCGCAAUGGGGGAAACCCUGACGCAGCAACGCCGCGUGAGUGAUGAAGGCUUUCGGGUCGUAAAGCUCUGUCAGAGGGGAAGAAAUGAGUCUGGCUAAUAUCCAGAUUUCUUGACGGUACCCUCAAAGGAAGCACCGGCUAACUCCGUGCCAGCAGCCGCGGUAAUACGGAGGGUGCAAGCGUUGUUCGGAUUUAUUGGGCGUAAAGCGCGUGUAGGCGGUUUUUUAAGUCCGAUGUGAAAGCCCUGGGCUCAACCCAGGAAGUGCAUUGGAUACUGGAAGACUUGAAUACGGGAGAGGGUAGUGGAAUUCCUAGUGUAGGAGUGAAAUCCGUAGAUAUUAGGAGGAACACCGGUGGCGAAGGCGGCUACCUGGACCGAUAUUGACGCUGAGACGCGAAAGCGUGGGGAGCAAACAGGAUUAGAUACCCUGGUAGUCC